UACGUAGGGCGCAAGCGUUGUCCGGAAUUAUUGGGCGUAAAGAGCUCGUAGGCGGCUUGUCACGUCGGGUGUGAAAGCCCGGGGCUUAACCCCGGGUCUGCAUUCGAUACGGGCAGGCUAGAGUGUGGUAGGGGAGAUCGGAAUUCCUGGUGUAGCGGUGAAAUGCGUAGAGAUCGGGAGGAACACCAGUGGCGAAGGCGGCUCGCUGGGCCGGUCCUGACACUGAGACGCGAAGGCGUGGGGAGCGAACGGG
rnacentral:rRNA from 1 species